UAACCAAUCUAGCUCUGCUAGGAUAUUGGGUUCGCCAGAGGCCUACCUUAAAACUCGUAGUACUGCUAUCAUGCCCUAAGCGUAGUAACUUUAUCGCUCAAGGUGCGUGGUGUGUCAGCUACCUCAAUAACCUACAAUCAC
rnacentral:misc_RNA from 1 species